AUGGCCUUUUACUUUCUGACGCCGCUUGGCCUCCCGGCUGAGGUACGGGAAUACAUUAACAAGAUUCGCAGGGCUUACUUGUGGGUUGAUUGCGACAAGGUGUCAGGUGGCAAGUGUAAAGUGAAUUGGGAGCUGGUGUGCAAGCCUAAAUCUCUCGGAAGGCUUCGAAUUCUGAGCUUGGAGAAAUUCUCUAUAGCCCUUAGACUUAGAUGGCUUUGGUUCCAAUGGACCGAAGCAUCGAAGCCUUGGAUCAGUUUGGGAAACCCAUGCUCUGAGGCGGACAAGGAGCUUUUU
rnacentral:rRNA from 1 species